GGGGCCGGCAGGGGCUGCGGGGGAGGAGUUUGCAUGGCAAUAUCUUGCACAGGGAAUCUCUCUGGAAAGCUCCAGCACAAAGGAGCUGUACAGCGGCCAAGAGAGCACGCAGACCACGGUCCCCAAGCCGGCUGCCACCUGGAAGCCAGAAUCCUCAUCAAGAAUAGGGCUCGAGACAGGUAAAUGGAUUCUUGCCUCAUUUUCAGUGAUCCUGGAAAGGAAGCAGGCAAAAUGCUGGUUUGCUUCUUUGUUUUGAAACCACCAUUUUCCUCCAGGCCUGGUGAUGUUAGGUGGGGGUUUUAGAGGAGAGAGGCUGAGGGUAGCUCUUCCCUCUGCAAAGAGUUAAUGUGACAGCUGCUGCCAGGCUCCUUUUGGGGAGCCAUUUUCUCUCCCUCAUUGUUCCACUGCCUUGUGUGCAUGUCCAUCUCAUCCAGGGAGCCAGGAAGGAUGAGACCCCCAACCCUCUGGGGACCCUUCCCUAUUACAGAAAGCAGCAGCAGAGCGGUGCGGGGACAAAGGGUGGCAGUGGGGUGGGGGACAGCAGCGGGGUGGGAGGGGUGGAAGGGUGCUGGGGGGGCUCAGACUAGAACCACUGCUGCGGGCGGAGGGAGGAGGGAUCAUCCCACAGGGCAGAGCAGCAACAAUGAACCUCGGCAGCAAACAGCAGCUGCUCGGCAGCUGAAGUGCGCAGUCAUCGCAGAGCGGCCCCGCUGGGGUUUGGGGCCAUUGUUGCUUUUCCCACAUUGGCCCCACGCUGCUUGUUCCCAGCGGGACGCGGCCAGGUGGGAUGUCUGCCUCUGCUACAGCCCAUGAGCAGAGAGGUGCGGGCACAGCAGUGGGUCUGAGGGCUCUGCAGGGCACGGGGUGCCCUCACUGCAUGGCAAUUGCCACGCUCUGCUGAGGCAGUGCUGCAUUGGGGACCUCGGUGCUGAUCUGACAGCACGGUGCUGCUCCUUGCUUUCUUGCUGCGUUGCUUGCUUUCUUUUGCAGCUGCUAAUGACUGACCUGAGGUCUGUUCACACACAGUCCCCUGUGCAGCCCUCGCAGAGGAACAGCCGGACGGGAUGGGGGACGCUGCACGGUGCCCGUGUAGCCAGAUUGCACAGCACUACCAGCCCCGUGGCUCUGCCACAGCUCUCACCCGAGGGCACUGGGGCACAGGGACGUGACAGCCGCCUGCACGUGGACACUGGAGCUGCUGGCCCCAGCGGAGCCACCUGAUGCCAGCCCGGCUGCUGUGGGAACAAGGCUGAAGAGAUGGUGGUGGCAGUGCCUGAGGACAUGGGACUGCCUUCACAUGGUUCUGCCAGGUGCUGGGGUCUUCUUCUUCCUGCAAACACUCUGGCACUGAUGAGGCUGUCCCCUCCUUGGAGUCCAUUUCUCAUCUUCAUGGUGCCAGGGCUGCACAUCACAGGGCGUACUCAGACUCUGUGUGCCUCACCAGCACGGUGACAGCAGCAGGUCCCCGCCAAGCUUUCAUCAGGAGGGCUGCAUUGCGCUGACCCAUCCACUGACACCUUCCCAUAUCCCAUAACCCAGUGGCAAAGCCCAAAAACGUCUCCUGCUCUCCAAAGCCAUGCUGCCUUGCGCGGGGACUAACCGUGCCCAGCUGUGCAUGCGUGUGCUCUGCUCCUCUCCAGCACUAACCAGGCCCCCCAGGCACCGUGUGCCCCCUGUGAUCACUAACCCACUAACACACCCGCGCAUGCCCUACUAACAGCCCCGCUCUCACUAACAGCCCACAGGCCUUAAAGGGGAACGGAAAAGCUGGGUAAGUACGGGGCUGUGCGGGGUACUAUGGAGCUGGGGAAGCCAGGCAGCAUGUGGGGCAGGCAGGGUAGGUGGGCAACCCCUCUGUAUGCCCCCUGUAUGGGACUGGUCUCUGCAGCAGUGGGGCUGCGAUGCCCAGAGUGCUGCAUAUGGUUCUGCUGCUGACUGGGAGCCCAAAAUGGUUUUAUCAGCAGAAGCUUUUCAGUUCCUUUUUAAGCCAGUGGAUCUCUCUGUUACUAACACAUUCCUGAACUGAAUUAAACAAACUAAUCGUUGCUGCUUUUCUCUUCAUUUCUCUUCUAGUGUAUAUGUUCCCUAAGUGCGACUGACGAUGCCAUGCUUCUCUUUACUAACAGCCUACAUUAACCUCUCUUUACUUGUUUCUCUAUUGCCUCUAACAAUUGUUCUUUGCACUUCAACUUUCCAGUGCUGUUGGCCAUGACAGAUGAGCAGUGGUCCCUACACACCCAGGGACCCAUGGCUGCUGACCCCACACUGCCAUUGGGUACAGCACAAAGGGAGAGGCUCAGGCCAGGGCUGCUUUCAAAAUUUCCCUAUUGGCCUGUUGUUUUCUGGGAAAUUUCACGUGAUUCAAUGAGGAAAAGAUACUGAGUGGAAAGAGAACAAUGCCAAAAACAUAAGGAACAGCUGGCAAUUGCCACAAUAAACCAGCAAAGCUGCCCAGAAAGCAGCACGAUGGCCAAGAGCCUUCCACCCCAGUUCACCUGUCAUGGAAACAGCCUCUCCGCAUCACACGCGGGGCAGCUGCAGAUUCUGCUGGCUCUCUUUGCUCCCUUUUUCUCUCUGCAGUGAUCUCGUGACCCUGAUGCAUGCAGAAAGCGAUGCCAGCAGCGUGCUCCUAACUAACCAUGAGGGUCUGAGAGCUGAGGCUGCCCAUGGGUUGGUACUCACAGUGUCCUGCCAGCCACUGAUGGUGACAGUGACAGUGAUGGUGAUGAGCUGGCCGGAGGCACUCUGCCUGGCAGAGUCAGUGUGCUGCUAAUGCUGGGGCUGGGCUGCAGCCCUUACUUUGCUUUCCAUAGGUCUGAAAUUAGGUAAAACUCCCCUACAUUUGCAUGGGGUUGAGGCUUCAUGUGUGUAGGGCAUUGCCAGCAUGCACAGAGCACAGCUUGCCCUGCAUCCAGCAGACCAUGAUUGUCCUUGUGCUGCCUUCGAUCCCUGGGACAGGGACCUGGCUCCUGGACCUGCAGCCGAGGAGCACCAAGCUGGCUGCCUCCUGCAUCCUAGCCAUGAGUGGGGAAUCAGCAGCUGAAGCAGCCACUGGCAAGCAGCUCCCCAUCUCCUCCACAUUAACCACUAACAAUCCACUCCCUGUCCUCAGCCAGGCUGUGAUCAGGAGGAGUUUUUGGGCUGGUGCUCAUAUGUUUGAUUGAGGAGGGUGCCUGCUUAUUCCUGAUGGGAGAGCAGAGACAUUGGCUCUGCAUGGAGCAAAGGAGCAGAGUGGGAAAAGGAGCAGGAGGAAGAGGAGGACGGCAGGAUGGGCCAGGUCCAGGGCAGGGCAGGGAUCCCUUUGGGCAGUAGGUUCAGGCCCUGGGGAGAAACCUGCAACAACGAGUACCAUUCUAUCCCUAUAUCAUGAGCACAGGGCUGUGUGCUCCAAGCCCUGCCUGCCUGGAGCUGCAGAGAUGCAUCCUCCUUUAAUCUACCCCUGCCACCUCAACACUCCCUAUCCUAUGUUUCCCUUGGCUGGGAGACAGUCUGUCUGUCUAUUCCCAUUUGAGACCUGCCUGGAGAUAGGUGGUGGUAAAGAGGGGUGUGGGACCCCCAGCAACAUUGUGGGCAGAGGUCCAGACAGCACCUGGCCCUGGGAUACCCCAUCCUGCCCAGGAUACACCUUGUACCAGGGCAUGAGAAUUUCACUGUGCGUCACCUUCCUCCUGCCCUAGCUGUGCCUUGAAGGUCUUUGGGAGGGAGGGCAUCAGAGCCAGACACAGGGGUGCUGAGUCAGUCAGGCAUGUUCCCCAACAGCCUUCUCAAUGUCUGGUGUUCCUGCAAUCCUGCAGUGCUGCUGGAUGCAGGGCUCAGUGCUGGCACGGGGUAAGGAUGCUCUGGGGAAGAGGACGUGGGGCCAAGGAUGUCCUUACUGCCUGUAAUGUCUGCUGUGAACAUGGCAAGUGUGCAAACACCUGUGUGCAGUGUC